rnacentral:rRNA from 1 species
GACGAACGCUGGCGGCGUGCCUAAUACAUGCAAGUAGAACGCACAGUUUAUACGGUAGCUUGCUACACCAUAGACUGUGAGUUGCGAACGGGUGAGUAACGCGUAGCUAACCUGCCUGGUAGCGGGGGAUAACUAUUGGAAACGAUAGCUAAUACCGCAUAAUAUUAAUUAUUGCAUGAUAAUUGAUUGAAAGAUGCAAUUGCAUCACUACCAGAUGGACCUGCGUUGUAUUAGCUAGUAGGGGAGGUAACGGCUCACCUAGGCGACGAUACAUAGCCGACCUGGAGGGGUGGACGGCCCACCUGGGAACGGGAAAAGGCCCAAGAUCCUAACGGGAGGAACAAUAGGGGAACUUCGGCAAAGGGGGGAAAGCCGGACGAAGAAAGCCGCGGGGGGGGAGGAAGGUCUCGGGUCGGUAAACUCUGUUGUUAGGGAAAGAAGGGUGUGAGAGUGGAAAGUUCACACUGUGACGGUACCUAACCAGAAAGGGACGGCUAACUACGUG